GGAAGUCGUAACAAGGUUUCCGUAGGUGAACCUGCGGAAGGAUCAUUAAUGAGUUGUCAUGGGGUUCGAUGCUGGCAGCCAAUUUUUGGAUGCAUGUGCUUGCCCUAACAAUCAUCUUCCAAACACCUGUGCACAUUUUUGAGGGAGUCUUGAGUUGGUUGCCGCUCUUGGGUGAUUUUCUCACAUUCCCUUAAAUCAUUAUACGCUAUUAACAAUGUUGAACGUGCUCUGUGCCGCAAGGCUAUUAAUAUAAUACAACUUUUAACAACGGGUCUCUUGGCUCUC
rnacentral:misc_RNA from 1 species